GUAGCGUGAAGGAUGAAGGUUUAUGGAUUGUAAACUUCUUUUAUACGGGAAUAACGGAUCCACGUGUGGAUUUUUGCAUGUACCGUAUGAAUAAGGAUCGGCUAACUCCGUGCCAGCAGCCGCGGUAAUACGGAGGAUCCGAGCGUUAUCCGGAUUUAUUGGGUUUAAAGGGAGCGUAGAUGGGUUGUUAAGUCAGUUGUGAAAGUUUGCGGCUCAACCGUAAAAUUGCAAUUGAUACUGGCAGUCUUGAGUACAGUUGAGGUAGGCGGAAUU
rnacentral:rRNA from 1 species